rnacentral:lncRNA from 1 species
AGGGUCCGACAGAAAAGAGACCGAACCUCACGAUCGGGCCCCAGGGGAGGGAAGGGUCACCUCCUCCGUCUCCCCGCGCUCGCUCUCCUUGGGUCGUGGGCCUGGCCCUCCCCAAGCUCUUAGGAGGAUGCUGCCACUUCUCACCCCCCUCGCCGCCUUGCACACACCGUUGCAACACCCCAUUUUCCCAGGGAGAGAGAUCCCCCUCUAAUCUAGGCGACCCAACUCCCCCUUUCAUGUUUUUCCUGGGUCAGGACGCUUCCCCUCCCCC